rnacentral:rRNA from 1 species
GACGAACGCUGGCGGCGUGCUUAACACAUGCAAGUCGAACGGAAAGGCCCCUUUGGGGGUACUCGAGUGGCGAACGGGUGCGUAACACGUGAGUAACCUGCCCUUGCCUUCGGGAUAACUUCAGGUAACUGGGGCUAAUACCGGAUAGGAAUCCUUGCUGCAUGGUGGGGGUUGGAAAGCUUCGGCGGUUUUGGAUGGACUCGCGGCUUAUCAGCUUGUUGGUGGGGUAGUGGCUUACCAAGGCUUUGACGGGUAGCCGGCCUGAGAGGGCGACCGGCCACAUUGGGACUGAGAGACGGCCCAGACUCCUACGGGAGGCAGCAGGGGGGAAUAUUGCACAAUGGGCGGAAGCCUGAUGCAGCAACGCCGCGUGCGGGAUGACGGACUUCGGGUUGUAAACCGCUUUCAGCAGGGGCGAAGCUUGUGGUGACGGUACCUGCAGAAGAAGCACCGGCUAACUACGUG